UUUUAUUCACAAAUUUAAGCUACAUUAAUCUGCUGAAAGGAGGAUAGAUACUUAAAUGGAGUUUCAAAUAACCCUCGCCUUUGAGAUCAUCUGUGCUCACAGCCCAGUAUUUGUACAAGAUGAAAUGAUUUACAGAAUCAAGCCUGGAAAAAUUGGAGGGCAACUCCAAAAGGCAAGAACAUGCUGCCGAGUCCAUCACUCAUCCUGCCAGGGAAACUUUUUGUAGUCUCCAAACUGCUAUGAGACACUGCUCUCUCUCCAGGACAGAGAAAUCAUCGAGAAGGCGGGAGGUGUGUUGGCUGCACAGCCAGAGUAAAGAACUGGAGUUCUUGGCAGGGCACUUCCACCUCAAAAGCAGACAGAGCCCUGGAAGGACUCUCACGUAAACAAAGCAGGGAGACAGCUUCAGCUCUGCAGCGAGGCUCAUCCUUUCCCAGAUCAAAGCCCGCGCCAGAGAGACAGCCCUACAGAACAGAGUGUCCUUUCUGGAACAUCCAGUUCCAGGGGGGGAGGCUUGAACUGGAGCCACAACCUUGCCACCUGUAUCCAAUGGCUUAGAUGCAAAGGCUCUCAGAGGUUGGGGAGCCCACAGCUGCUCCAAUGACAGAUCAACGGAAAGAUAAGGCAAGCAAGAGAAGUUCCUACCUUGCAAGCUCAGAUCAGCUACUCUGAGAAAAAGAAAAUGCAUCCAGCCAGCCCCGGCUCUCUCUAGAGUGUAGAAAGCGGGUGGCAAUCAGUACAGACUCAUGGCCCAGCUGUUUGCCUUGCUCUCUACUCUGCUACUUACUUACUAACUGGGUGAGCUGGGCAGGCUACUGGAUAUUUCUAUACCUUGGUUUCCUCACCUGCAAAAUGAACCUAAUAGUACCUGCUUCACAGGCUUUAAUGAAUGGUACAGGAGAAAGCUCUAAAAAUGUUGCAAUGAUCAUUUGAAAGUCCCACGGUCCUGCAUUUGAACAAGUUCUGCUAAUCGGUAGUUUUGUGAACUUGGAGAAACAACAAUAUGGGAUGACUUCCCUCAUCUGUAAAAUGGAAUUUCACCCAACCCUGGUGGGGUUGCCAUGGAGAUUUGACUUUAUAUGGCACAGAGUAGGAAUUCAGUAAAUGCCACCUCUGUUUAUUAUCAUUUUUCCUGACUUCGAAAGGAUAAAGCCCACAGGACUGGUCAAAUGGGAAGAGAUACAGUUAGUAAAACUGAGAAUCCUCUUAAGUCCCCAAAACUUCAUCCAUAUGCAAAAGAGAUACAUCCCUGGGGAUGAUUGGGUCCUGGUGUUUUAAAUACACAGCUAAUUAUAUUUUAAGAGAGAAGAGGGAACCUGGAAGUAUUCCCAAAUUUAACAUCUGCAAGCAGAGAGGAUGACGAAAUGCAUUAGUACUGAGGAAUAACUUUCUCCCAUCUUCUCAGAAAACAUCUGGGGUAUUACCCUCCCCUCUACUCAUUCCCUCACCUCCCACCCCAAAGCUGACUCUUGGCUGACAGUUUAUCAGAGAUAAAUGGAAACACCUGGGAACCAGAUAAGGCCAACUCAACGUGAUCAGCUGAGGAGACCUUGGGAACUCAUGCUACUCAAUAUUUCUCUUUCCACACCAGGCGGGGCUAGGAGUACCAUCUAGCCUGUGACAGAUGGCAAGGCUCACUUUCACAUCCACUCUUUUCUUCAUUCAUUCCAAACAACCUCAAGAGGUCAGCUGGCCCAGGUUCCUGCCUGAGGAUCUUAGGUCCCCAACCAGGAAUUGAACCCGAACCCCCUCCACUGGAAGUGCAUAACCUUCAUCACUGGACCACUAAGGAAGAGCGACUUUCUAAGUGCCACCUAUGGAGAAUUUGGAGGAAUGGAGUCUUUCCUAAAAAAAUUUUCAAAAAUGAGACAGAAGGAGAAGGAAUAGAAGAAAAUAGGAUAGAACAAAGGAAGAGGUAAGAAAGAAAGAUGGUUAAACGUGUUACUAAGUUUAAUAAUGACUCACCCCUGAAAUGUCCAUUCAUCAGCUGCGUUA